rnacentral:rRNA from 1 species
UACGUAGGGUGCAAGCGUUGUCCGGAAUUAUUGGGCGUAAAGAGCGUGUAGGCGGCCCGGUUAGUCCGCUGUGAAAGUCCAGGGCUCAACCCUGGAAUGCCGGUGGAUACUGUCGGGCUAGAGUCCGGAAGGGGCGAGUGGAAUUCCUGGUGUAGCGGUGAAAUGCGCAGAUAUCAGGAGGAACACCAAUGGCGAAGGCAGCUCGCUGGGACGUGACUGACGCUGAGACGCGAAAGCGUGGGAGCAACAGG